rnacentral:misc_RNA from 2 species
AAGUCGUAACAAGGUUUCCGUAGGUGAACCUGCGGAAGGAUCAUUACCUAGAGUUGUAGGCUUUGCCUGCUAUCUCUUACCCAUGUCUUUUAAGUACCUUCGUUUCCUCGGCGGGUUCGCCCGCCGAUUGGACAAUUUAAACCAUUUGCAGUUGCAAUCAGCGUCUGAAAAAACUUAAUAGUUACAACUUUCAACAACGGAUCUCUUGGUUCUG